AUUAUUUUAUGAAAGAUUGUGUGAUUCAAAAUAAGAGAGAAAAAAAUAAAAAAAAUGAUGCUACCAAAAAUCGUACAUGUUGAUUUCCCAAACUUGAAGACUUUGAAUGAACACGAUCGUAGUCUUUUGGUACCUGAAACAAAGGCAAUGAAGUGUGUUCCCGUCGCCCCUCCAAUACUUAAGUCAGAAAGGAAAUUAUAUGCGUGAGACUAUAU
rnacentral:lncRNA from 1 species